rnacentral:rRNA from 1 species
GACGAACGCUGGCGGCGUGCUUAACACAUGCAAGUCGAACGGGCCCGCCCCUGUUUUUGGGGGUGGGUUGAGUGGCGAACGGGUGAGUAUCACGUGAGUAACCUGCCCCCUGCUCCUGGAUAACUGCUUGAAAGGGCGGCUAAUACGGGGUGUGCCGGCUGGUCCGCAUGGGCCUGGUCGGGAUAGUUUCAUCUUCGGGUGUUUCGGUGGGGGAUGGGCUCGCGGCCUAUCAGCUUGUUGGUGGGGUGAUGGCCCACCAAGGCGGUGACGGGUAGCCGGCCUGGGAGGGUGGGCGGCCACUGUGGGACUGAGACACGGCCCAGUCUCCUGCGGGAGGCAGCAGUGGGGGGUAUUGCACAAUGGGCGGAAGCCUGAUGCCGCGACGUCGCGUGAGGGAUGGAGGCCUUCGGGUUGUGAACCUCUUUCUCCGGUGGUGAAGGCCCUGUCCGUUGCGGCGGGGUUGACGGUAGCCGGGUAUGAAGCGCCGGCUAACUACGUG